GCCAGCUGAAAUACAAAAGUACAAGAUUUUUAAAAAAAAAAUUUUUUUUUUUUUUUAAAGAGGGAAGUGGACCUAUAGAUAAGGAGACUUACCAGCCAGAUACACCUGUAAAUUCAUUUGGAUCAUGAGUCUAAGAAUCAAUUGUGCGGCUUUUUAAAAUCUGGUAGAUGUGAACAUUGAUUGGCAAUAUGGCAGAGUUACUGUUUAAAACUUCUGGUUGUGAAAAGGCUGUUGCGGUUAUGUUUUAAAAAGGAAAAGAGUCUUAGAGACACAUACUGCAGGUUUUAUGGUCGAAAUGAUGUCUGAGAUUUGCUGAAAAAAUACCCAGCGUGGCCGGCUGCGGGGAGCCAAGAAUGAAAGUUUCUGAAAUAUGAAGCAGCUCAGAGUUUCUCUGAAACAUAAGCCUCACACGGCACAAGUGAGCCUCCUUGGGGACUUCUCCCGUCAAGAAAGAGCACCGCAAUGAGGGGGGCUGUGUCCAGUGCCCCCAGGUCCUUCAAAAGCAGGACAGAAUUCUGACCUUGAAGCCAGAGGCAGAGGACCAUGCUGCCAGACGGUGACCUCAGGAGUAAGGACAAGGCACUCAGCUCAGAUCAGGAACUUGCUGAAAGAAGAUCCCACGGGUGACUUCACCAGAGCUGGGAGAUACCUCAGAAUGUUCCAGAAUCUUAGACCAGCAUUAGGGAGCCUCCAGACAGGAGGCCAAGCAGCUGCCUUGCCCAAGAGAAGAGUUUCAAGCAGGAGAGGGAAGAAGCAGCCAUGACGGUGACAGAAGUGACCAGAACUCCAGGCCAGACUUAAAGGAAGCUCUUUGAGGAGGAGCCACAUCCUGUCUUUGCUGUUCCCCAUGGCAUGUCUGAGCACGGCGGGACUUGGGUUGGAGACCGGGUGCGGCUGUGGCCACUGCGGUCGAAGCCAACGGAUUUAUGGUUCCGCGCAGUCGUGGGCAGAGAUGAGCCCGUGACCGAAGACGUGGCCUGCCUUCUCGGGGGACGGUUGCUGCCGCACUCUUCCAGGUCACGCAGGAGGAAGGUGAUCUCGUCCUUGUUGCCACUCCUUGGCCCCGACACCCGCCCACGCCAGGCAGGCCAGCCAGAUUCUCCCUGCGGCCAGCCAUGCACGGUGCCAAUCCUGGGAGUGACUUCAGGGAGGGGGAGGCGGGGGGCAAGCAAGUGAUCGGUAUUGUGGCAGAGCUGUCCAUGCAGUGUCCUGGGUAACUCUGGCUGGCGUAGGGACCACCCUCAGCAUGAACCCGCAGCUCUUUGAGGACACGGCCUGGGUCUGAAGCCUCUCUGUUUCCACGGCGCCUGGCUUAGCACCUGGCACGUAGAAAGCCUUCACCUGGCGUGGAGUAGGGGAGUGCUUCUGUAGUUACCAGCAGCCCGGGAGUUCAUGGAGGGACCGAGUUCAGAUGUUAGUGACUGUCCUCAAGUGUCCGCCCCCGGGCCCCCCACGCCCCAAUGAGUGCAUCCUCCCUUUGGUAUAUGGCGAAGUCCUGGGUCCUCAGCACAAAAUGCAGACGGUGCCCCCUUGUGUGUUUUGUAAGCUGCAGAAUCCCUGUCGGGGGGGGGGGGGCAGGGGAAGGGGACAAAUCCUGUGUAACAUCGAGGGUUUUAUAGAGCCUUGGAGCUCUCUGCUGCUUUCUUUUAAGGCUAGUGAGUUAAAAAUGUUCGAGGCCAGAUAGUAGGAGCUGGUCCCGAGGGCUGGCACUGCCCGUCCAACCACAUCUCCUAGGAGCCGGGGGCUGCUUCCAAACAGCUGAACCUUGAAGCUGGUGGAGAUGUGAGCAGGUCACCAAGGGUUAAGGAGAGAGGGGAAGGGAGGGCCCUUGCCAGCCGCCUCUUUGUGUGCUUACCAGGGGCUUUCGUGCCCACGCAGUUGUCUCUGGGCAGGACCACCGCUGACUGCCAGGUGUCCGCGCUCCGGGUUUGGCUGUUGGUAGCUGGAGUGUCAUUUACAGUGGGUCUCCAGCACGCUCCCUCACAUUUUUCCCCUAAUGACCACCCAGAGACCCGACUGAACAGAAAUUGCAAACAGGUAGAGGAGGUCGAAAUAGAUGAUCAAGUGAAGGCUGUGGGGGGAGCAGGGCGCUGGAGGGGGCAGGUGGCUCUCAGCUCCGCACUCGUAGGGAAUGGGCCAAGGCUCUUCCUAAGAAGCAACUCCAAAGGCUUCUAGAAAAUAGCUCGAGAAGCCAGGUCUAGAAGGAAAGCUGUAAAGGGCUUCAUGGUAUGUAAAGGCACCCCCCCGUCCUCACAGCCCCCCAUCCAGAGCACCCACGUCAGGCUCUUGGAUGCUCGCUGAGCGGCCGUUCUCACGGGGGGCCUCUGAGGCUGCUCGGUGCAUGCGUGAGGCUCUAACCAGCACAGCCUGCCUUUAGUGCCCGCACGGCCAAGGGCUUCCCACGCAGGGCCCCGCUGAAUCCCCAGCAGCCCCGGGAAGUAGCAUGUUCCUGUCCUCAUGUUCGAAUGAAGAAAAUAAGGUUUAGAGCGGUUAAAUAACUUGCCCAAGGGCGGGCAGCGAGUGAGGGGAGGAGCAGGCUUCACGUCCAGGCCUAGGCCUGCCCAUCACUCGGGCUUUAAGGCGCUGCUUCUUGCCUUGCGGGAAUUUUCCUUGCGUCGCCAGAAUCCUCAGUCCACGCUGCGUCUCAAUGGCACAGCCACCUUGAAAUGGUCUUGCUUCCACAGCCCCCUCCGCGGCCCGUCAGAGCCGCUCAGUAGUUUCUGAGAGGCCAGGUCGAGUGGGGGCUGAACCUCCCGACCAUCCCUGUGGUUCACGAGCGACAUCCUCCGCACUCCCAGCAGUCACUGGAAUUUCUGCUGUGGGAAUUUGGGGAGAGUCUUGAGGCGUGGCAGAUGCAAGAAUCUGUGAUUUCUGCUCUCCAUUCUGUGAGUCAGGUCAUCAGGCAGAGCAAGGCGGGAACAAUUUCUUUCUGCUCCACUGUGUCUGGUCCUCGACCCAAGAGGCCCAAACGGCUGGAUUUGGCUAAGGUGGUCUGACUGGCCGUAGUGUGGGGCCCUGGGUUCUGUCUGCCAGCAGGAUCCCUCCCCUCUUUUUCGCGUGACAUCCACUGAAAUGGGGUGGAAAUGUCCAAAAUGACUUUUUCACUCGUGCAUCUGAUGCUUCCAUGUUCUCCUUUAAUGGCCUCUCUUCAUAGAGUAACUUCAUCUCCUUACAUUGUUGUUCCGGGCUCCGCAAAGCCACUGUCCAUGCUCCUCCUUGUCCAUGGUACCUGUCCUGCCCUGAGCCCCAUCUGUGGGGAGCUGCCACAUUUGGCCCCCACUGUAUUACAUGACCUUGCCCAUUGGGCCAGGAUCCAGUGGAAGCUGACCAGUGACUUUUGAAAUCACCUGGUUGGCUCAAAAAUAUAAGGAAAACCAGUCAGACCAGUCGGAUUCCUCUUUGGGGAAACUCAAACCAAAACAUCAGACUGUAUCGGCACAGUGUGUGUGUGACAGGAUAGCGUGAGGGCAAGUAGGGCUUGGAUGGGCCGAUGUGCUGGCCUGAAUGAGGCUGAAGAAGGGACGUAGAGAUAGAAGAAAAACAAGCCGUGACAUGGAGAGACCUCCGAGUGGAGGGAACCAUGAGCCUGUCAUUGGCGAUGGGAGAAAGGAGGGGAUGGCCGGAGCAGAGCUGGGACCCAUGAAAGCCUGGGGGUGGAGCCAGUCCCAGAGGUGCCCUGGUGUCCCAGAGCUCCUGGGCCCGCCUGGCCCAUGUGAGUCACUGCAACAAACUUGUUCCUUAUUCCCUUGGCUGUCAGUUGGCUUAGAGGGGGCCACGUGACUUCAAUCUGCCAAUAAAAAUUAGGAGGAAAUGGGCUGGAGGUCCUUCUGGGAAGAAUUUUGCUUUUUGAUGAAGGAUGGUGAAGAGGCCUGGCCCUUCUUCCUGCUUUGGACAUGGAUGUUUGAGGAUGUGAUACUUAGAGCUGUAGCAGCCAUCUUGGGACCAUGAGGCAACAAGAUCAAGGGAAGAAGCCAACGUACCAAAGUUGGCCCAGCAGACGGACAAAAAGAGCCUGGGUCCUAGAUGACAUCGUUGAGCCACUAUACCUAUCCUGGAACCACCUACUUCCAGUCUUAUUGAUACAUUAAUUAAAUGUCUUUAUUUUCUAAGCAGAUUUCUGCUAUUUGAAGGCUAAGACAUUCUUAGCCAGUAUAGCACUCCUCUGAACCUGUCCGUCAUCAACUCCUUAGAGCCCCAUGGCUCUUGGUUUAGAUCCAAAUGAGAAAUCACCACAAAUUUAAACAGUGGAAAUCUUAACUUAUGUGGUAGGAAAUACAAGUCAAGAUUUCUCACAGCCUACAGAGCAAUUCCAGCACCUAGUCCCAACUCCCAGGGCCUGUUGGACGCAAAUGAGGAAAGGUAGAUUCAGGAAAGUUCUAGAUACAUGAGCAUGAGUCUUCUAAAAUGGGGCUCAAUGAUGAAUUUUGGGAUGAACAAGUGCAGUGAGGGGAGAGGGGGAGAGCCUAAGCAUGGGCCAGAAAGCCAUGGAAAGCACACAGAAGGAGCAGCAAGCUGGAAUGGACAAAUGGCGGGUGGGUUGGAUCACUUCUGUGGGAGGCCAGGGUCCACAGCAAGAUUUCACAAGUGCCAAGUACUGGCUGGGAGGAGUUUACAGCAACUAGAAUUAAACUGGUGGAAAACGAGGCCUUUCGUUAACUCUCCAGCCAGCCUUCCUGACAUUUUAGAUCCUUUUAGGAACAGGGCCUGAAUUGUGGCCCUUGCCUGCGUGCAGGCGCUCCCAUGUGCUUCAUUCUUUGUCUCUUCUCCACCUCUCCCUCUCUCUCCACCCUUUCUUCCUGUCUUCUCAGCAAAGCCAGGAGCCAGAAAUGCUCAAGAUCUGAAUCUCUUUCACCUCAGCUGGAGAGUAAAGAUAGUGGGAGGCAAGGAUGUCUUAUUGAAGCUUCGAAUUCUGGUCUGGGGAUCAUCCUGGUUCCCUUGGGAGGGGGGAAAGCCGUCUGUUGAUAAGGACUAGAUUAAGCUUUCUUCUGCCCCAACUUUGACCAAGCAGUGGGGACGGGGGUGCUUCUUCAACACAACAUAAGAAAAUGUGUGGUCCUCCCUUCCCUUGUGCAAUGAGACGUUGAACUUGAGCACUCUAGGCCUUCCUCUUUCGAUUUCUAGUUUCAGGUACACAACAAAGAUAAUCUGACAUCCUCCUCAUGGAUCCUACGAAUAUUUCAUUGCAUUCAGAACUUGAGAAAAGUCUCACCAACCCAUUUCCCAUCCCCACAUCAUCAGUAGUAGAAACAUGUGGCCUGUAGAAGUUCAUCAAAUGAAUGGGGGCCAAACACGGUUGAGUUACCAGCAGACUCUGCCACUAAGCCUCGUCCCUCUGGGUGCAGCUCUUAUGCACCCUGCGUAUCUUAGGAGUUCUGCCCCCAAAGGCCAAAACCAGGUCAACCCCGACAUUUGCCCACUGCGUUACUUCACUCACUCAGUAGAAGUACUGAACACCUAGUAGAAUUACAAGCUAAACUUAUAAAAGCAAUGAUACUAUUAGGAAGAUUAGUCAUUAAAGACACACACAAAAAAUUCCUGACCUCAUCAGAGAAAUGAAUGAAAGCUUUGGGAUGGAGGAAGCAAAAAGGGUAACCUCCUACUUUGAUGUGAUUAAUGCUUCACUGUGAUGCUUAAUACACCGUGAAUUCCCCCACCCCCACAGUUGGCCCGUACACCAUGAAGGUUUCUCUGAAAUCCAGUAAGGAAAAGAACUUGAAGGCUUUUCCUCCUCCUUGGUAAUCAGGGUUUUUUCUCCAGUAUGAAUUUGCCUGAUUAUGGAUUAAACGCUCUCCCACAGUCUGUACAACACGAGAGUGUCUUUCCCGUGAACUCUCCAAUGAUAAGAAAGGGCUACACUGUCACCACAUGAUUUUCCACACCGAUUAGGCUCACAGGCUUCUCUCUAGGAUGAAUGAUCUCAGGUUCAAUCCACUCCACGCUUCCCCUAGACAGUUCUCCAUAUUCAUUACAUAUGACCGGCUCAAGUCCGAACUAAAUUAGCUGAUAUUGUCUGAGUCUGGAACUGGGAUUGUAGGUUCUUCCUCAUCCAUUAUGCUUACAGAGCUCCUCCCUGCCCUGAAAUCCCAGAAGUCUAAUUAGCUGUGAGCACGGUCUAAAAGCAUUUUCCCAUCCAUUACGUGCAUGUGGUUUUUCUCCAGUGUGAAUUCUCUGACGUUGAAUGAGCUCUGCUUUCCCAAAAGCCUUCACAUUUAUUGCAUUUGUAGAGUUCCUGUGGCUUAGGAAGGUGCUAGAAUGCUUGCAGAGGCCUCCACAGAUCGGGCUUUCCCUAAGAUGAAUGUUUCAGUGUUCAGGAGGAUGGGAGCCCCAGCAAAAAUCGCCUGUAUUUGUAAUGCAAGGUCUCUCUCCAAUACAAAUACUGUAAUCCUGAAUAAAUUCUGACUUCUAAGAUUUGGCCACAUAUAUUUGGGGGUCUUCUCACUUCUAAAAGAUACAGACAGAAUUGCACCUUAUCCCCAUCUUCAUCCCAUUCAUGGGAUGGGGUCCCUGGUCGUUCUCUGGGUUGUCUCCCUAGUCACAUCUCUCUCCAUGCUUGGGGGCCAGCUCGUCCUCUGAUAGGGACCUCCUCACUGCAUUCACCUAUGAGUCUACUGCUGCAGAAAGUUCCUGCUCAAGGCCCGCUUGCUCUGGGUCCCAGCCUCACAAUAUAAAAUCCCAGCAAAUGUAAAUCCCAGCCAUUCUCUCUCAAAGAACCAGAACAUGUCUUGAGCGGAGAGUAUAAAAUUUGGGGAGAAGACUUAAAAGUCAGAGUGCCUUUGGGUGAAUCUAGAAAAUGAUGGCUGUGACAGAUGGCUGGUUACUUAUAUUCUCUUUUUCUUUCUUAACGAACCCUCUUGUGGUCACACUGAGAAUGUACCCAUUAAAAUUACCUUCCCUAGUGACCGGGAGGGAGCACAUGGGGUCUUGCAAGGAGGCUGUUCCCACUCUGUUCCUUGAUCUGGAUGCUGGUCAAAUUGAUGUGUUCACUUUGUGAAGAUCCCUAAGUGGGAUCCUUAGGACUUGUGCGCCUUCUAGGAGGAAAGUUAAAAAUGAGUACGUUCCCCAUACUGCCGCCGUGCAGCCAGCAAAUGAGAUGUAAGCAGAACUGGGCAUCCACGAGAACUCAUUAAAGUGGGGGACUCCGGAGCAGGAACCUUUUGCCUUUUCCCUGCCUGCCCCUCUCCUUCUCGCGGAUCUGGGAGGUGCCGCCCGAAGGCGCAGCAGCCAUCCUGGGAGGUGUGAAGGAGGGUGCCCCUUCCCUGUGGCCAUGAACUUCUCACCUCUGGAAUUUUCAGUUUGUUUAGUCUAGGCAAUGAAAAGUGACUCGUUAGGCUAGGCAUCUUUCCCUGUGUUCAUUGCCUCUUACGUUUUAAUUUUGUUCACCUUUCUCUUUGAUCCUUUUGCAAAAGUUCUGCAUUCAUUGAAGGUAUUGUCCCUUCACGUGUCAGAUGACUCGUGGCCAUCCUUCCAAAUGUCUCUUGAGUUUGUGGGGUUUUUUAAGCCAAACAAAUUACCCCAUUUUUAUUGUAUGGCUUCUGAAUGUUGCAUGUUCAUACUUUUCCCACUCCAGAGCUGUUAAAACGUUAAUCCUUUCUGCCUGCUGGUACUUCAUAGUUUUGUUGUUUUAUGAUAAAAUCUUGGAUCCCCGUGGAAUUUACCUUGAGGUAAGGCCUGGGGGUGAAGGUCCGGAUCUUCCCCUCCCCAGUCACCUCUCAGCACCGUCUGGGGAAUAGCUCCCUUUUCCCAGCCGUUGUGAAAUGCCACUGUGAUUAUGGGUUCAGUUCCCAUUUGAAUGUGGGUCUUUUUCUUGAAUUUCUAUUUCUGUACCUUGUCUGAUACAUAAUUAUUUUGACUCUUUUUCUUUAUAAGUUGUUUUCCUAUCUGAUAAGGCUACUGCCUCAUUGUUCUUUUCCAGAACUCUCACAUGACACUAAGGUGAAUAAGUGGGGGUUGGCGGUAGUCACUUAGAGAUUUCCAUGAUGUCAGACUGUACAGAGCCUCCUGCAUACAGAGAACAUUCUAACAAUAUCCUUAGUUUGAGCAAUCUCCCCUUUUCCUCUGCAGUGUAUUCUUGGAGCCAUUUGGUAAGCAAGAGUCAUGUUUUCUCGUGAUAAUUACUCAUAUCCAGAAACUCAACAUCAAACAAGUUUCGGUUCUGACAAAUACAUCAUAGAAGCAAAAACAAAACUUAGGAUGGUCUUUAGCAAUAUAAAAGGGCAACAUGAUGCUCCAAGUCCUACGCCGUAGGCAUAUGGGGACUCAAGAUAAUAAUGUCACAGGCGGGCCCCUGGGUGGCUCAGUUGGUUAAGCGACUGCCUUCGGCUCAGGUCAUGAUCCUGGAGUCCCGGGAUCGAGUCCCGCAUCGGGCUCCCUGCUCGGCGGGGAGUCUGCUUCUCCCUCUGACCCUCCUCCCUCUCAUGCUCUCUGUCUCUCAUUCUCUCUGUCUCAAAUAAAUAAAUAAAUAAAUAAAUAAAAAAGAUUCAUCACAGAUAAUGCAAAAUUGGCUUCACAUUUGAAAGUCAAUCAAUAUAAUUUAAAAAAAUAAAAAAAUAAAAAAAUAAAUUAAAAAAUAA